UCAUGACCUGGCGCAGCUUACACAUGCAGUCGAACGGUAGCAGGAGAAAGCUUGCUUUCUUGCCGACGAGUGGCGGACGGGUGAGUAAUGCUUGGGAAUCUGGCUUAUGGAGGGGGAUAACUACUGGAAACGGUAGGCUAAUACCGCGUAAUAUCGAGAGAUUAAAGGGUGGGACUUUCGGGCCACCUGCCAUAAGAUGAGCCCAAGUGGGAUUAGGUAGUUGGUGGGGUAAAGGCCUACCAAGCCUACGAUCUCUAGCUGGUCUGAGAGGAUGGCCAGCCACACUGGGACUGAGACACGGUCCAGACUCCUACGGGAGGCAGCAGUGGGGAAUAUUGCACAAUGGGGGGAACCCUGAUGCAGCCAUGCCGCGUGAAUGAAGAAGGCCUUCGGGUUGUAAAGUUCGUUCGGUGAUGAGGAAGGUGUUUUGUUUAAUAGACAAAGCAAUUGACGUUAGUCACAGAAGAAGCACCGGCUAACUCCGUGCCAGCAGCCGCGGUAAU
rnacentral:rRNA from 1 species